GGCAGCGGUUUCAAACACUGCUACUAGUUGAGGGAUAUUAUUUUACAGCUUCCGACGUAACACUAUUUUCCAGCAACUUGUUCCAAUCCUGCUUAAUUUAGUUUUUUUCGAACCUGUGCACAAUUUAUUGGUGAGUAGAGUUGCAAUCUAAAACCCGUUUACAGCUUUGUGAUGCGCGUAGCCUUUGUGUUGAUGAUCUCGGAAUGCUUGCUUCUCAUGUCGCUGUACAAAACAGAUCUACACUUCAAUGGGUAAUUUUGUCGAAAAUAGAGUUUCCUUGGCAUGGUUUUUGUCCUUUCACAUCGUUGGAGUAUGUCGUUAAGUGCUUCGACUGAUUGAAGCACCUCGUCUUGGAAUCUCCGGCACCUUCUGAAUCUCCCACUUCUUAACUGAAACGCUUUUUUGGUCAGUGUUUUUGUGUGUAUGUGUGUGUGAUGGCCAUGAAAAAACAAUUACUGCUGCAUGUGCUUGCCAAAGCUGAAGCAACAACUCAGCCAAGGGAAGAGUCUUCUCGCUUGUCUGGGUUGUUGAUCCAGUUUGAAGGCCGGAAAGCAGAGUGCGAAGUAUUCUUCCCCAUCUUGCAAUUUCCCCAGCUGCCAGUUUUCAGGGAAUGUAGCAAUCUCAGCGCGGUC
rnacentral:lncRNA from 1 species